AUCUCUUCUUCUCUAUUAGCUAAAAUCAAACUUCAUAUCUGUCUUACCAAUUAAAGCACCUGAUGUAUUCUUUAUUUGUGUUCUGGGCAUUAAAGUAAUGUUUGGAGCUAGGAGAUGGAUUGGUGGCUUACUCUAUCAGCUCCACUCAACUUGGAAUUGCAUUACUUCCAGGAACACUGC
rnacentral:snRNA from 1 species